rnacentral:rRNA from 1 species
GUGGAGCAUGUGGUUAAUUCGACGCAACGCGAAGAACCUUACCUGGGCUUGAACUGUCGGUACUAGGGACCCGAAAGGGCGACGAUCCCGGGCAACCGGGAAGCCGAUAGAGGUGCUGCAUGGCUGUCGUCAGCUCGUGUCGUGAGAUGUUGGGUUAAGUCCCGCAACGAGCGCAACCCUUGUCCUUAGUUGCCAGCGAGUCAUGUCGGGCACUCUAAGGAGACUGCCUCGGAUAACGAGGAGGAAGGUGGGGAUGACGUCAAGUCAGCAUGGCCUUUAUGUCCAGGGCUACACACGUGCUACAAUGGACGGUACAGAAGGACGCGAGAUCGCGAGGUCGAGCCAACCCCUAAAACCGUUCUCGGUUCGGAUUGCAGGCUGCAAUUCGCCUGCAUGAAGCCGGAAUCGCUAGUAAUCGCGGAUCAGCUACGCCGCGGUGAAUACGUUCUCGGGCCUUGUACACACCGCCCGUCACAUCACGAAAGCUGGUCGUACCCGAAGUCGCUGGGCCAACCGCAAGGAGGCAGGCGCCGAAGGUAUGGUCGGUGAUUGGGGUGAAGUCGUAACAAGGUAACCGUAAAGUCGUAACAAGGUAACCGUACUGAGCCAUGAUCAAACUCU